CCUUGUUGAUCCUGCCAGUAGCAUAUGCUUGUCUCAAAGAUUAAGCCAUGCACGUGUAAGUACAUAUGACCGGUACAGUGAAACUGCAAAUGCCUCAUUAAAUCAGUUAUGGUUCCUUUGAUGGCACCAUCUGUUACUUGGAUAACUGUGGUAAUUCUAGAGCCAAUUCAUGCUGACGAGUGCGAACCUCCCAGGAUGCGUGCAUUUAUCAGACCAAGACCAAUCCGGGACCGAUCGCACGUCCCUGUGACGGCGACGAUGAAUUCGGAUGUCUGCUCUAUCAAGUUUUCGAUAGUACUUUCUGUGCCCAUCAUGGUAACCAAGGGCAAUGGGGAAUCAGGGUUCGAUUCCAGAGAGGGUGUCUGAGAAACGGCUACCACAUCCAAGGAAGGUAGCAGGGCGCAAAUUACCCACUCCCGACUCCAGAAGGUAAUGACAAAAAAUAACAAUACAGGACUCAUUCAAGGCACUGUAAUUGGAAUAAGUACACUAAAUCCUUUAACGAGUACGCAUUGGAGGGCAAUUCUGGUGCCAGCAGCCGCGGUAAUUCCAGCUCCAAUAGCGUAUAUUAAAGUUGCUGCAGUUAAAAAAGCUUGUAGUUGGAUUUUGGGAUCGAGCUGAGCCGCCCUUCAUGCUCUUGACUGAGUUUCUUGGGAGUCAGAAGCAUUUACUUUGAAAAAAUGUGAGUGUUCAAAGAAGGCCGGUUGCCUGAAUAUUUCAGCUAGGAAUAAUGGUUCUAUUUUGUUGGUUUUCGGAACUGGGGCCAUGAUUAAGAGGGAUGACCGGGAGCAUUUGUAUUAUGCCGCUACAGGUGAAAUUCUUCGACUGGCGUGAGGCGAACCAAAGCGAAAGCAUUACCCAAGAAUGUUUUCAUUAAUCAAGAACUUAAGUCUGAGAUUCAAAGACGAUCUAAUACUGUCGUAGUUCCAACCAUAAACUAUGUCAACUAGCGAUCUGGCAGCGUUAUUCCCAUGGCCCGCCGAGCAGCUUCCGGGAAACCAAAGUCUUUGGGUUCCGGGAGGAGUAGGGUUGCAAAGCUGAAACUUAAAGGAAUUGACGGAAGGGCACCACCAGGAGUGGAGACUGCGGCUUAAUUUGACUCAACACAGAAACCUCAACCGGCCCGGACACGGAAAGGAUUGAUAGAUUGAUAGCUCUUUCCAGAUACUGUGGGUGGUGGUACAUGGCCGUUCUUAGUUGGUGGAGCGAUUUGUCUGGUUAAUUCCUAUAACAAACAAGACUCCUCCAUGCUAACUAGUUACGCGACCCCCCAGAGGUCGGCGUUCAAUUUCUUAGGGUGACAAGUGGCGUUUAGCCACACGAGGUCGAGCAAGAACAGGUAUGUGAUGCGCUUAGAUGUCCGGGGCAGCACGCACGCUACACUGAACGAAUCAGCAUGUGUCUACUAACCCGCUGAACCCCGUUUGUGAUAGGGAUUGGGGAUUGCAAUUAUUUCCCAUGAAUGAGAAAUUCCCAGUAAGUGCGUGUCAUAAACUUGCGUUGAUUAAGACCCUGCCCUUUAUACACACCGCCCGUCGCUAUUACCGAUUGGAUGAUUUAUUGAGAUCCUCAGAUCGGCCCCGCCGGGAUCGGCAAAGCCCUGGCGAAGUGGCGAGAGGACGAACAAGCUUGACUAUCUGGAGGAAGUAAGUCGUACGGGUUGGGUUAAGCUGCCGGGGAUG
rnacentral:rRNA from 1 species